rnacentral:rRNA from 1 species
GACGAACGCUGGCGGCGUGCUUAACACAUGCAAGUCGAACGGCAAGGCCCUGCUUUUGUGGGGUUCUCGAGUGGCGAACGGGUGAGUAACACGAGGGUAACCUGCCCUUGACUUUGGGAUAACUUCAGGAAACUGGGGCUAAUACCGGAUAGGAUCUCCUGCUGCAUGGUGGGGGUUGGAAAGUCUCGGCGGUUGGGGAUGGACUCGCGGCUUAUCAGCUUGUUGGUGGGGUAGUGGCUUACCAAGGCUUUGACGGGUAGCCGGCCUGAGAGGGUGACCGGCGACAUUGGGACUGAGAGACGGCCCAGUCGCCUACGGGAGGCAGUAGGGGGGAAUAUUGCACAAUGGGCGGAAGCCUGAUGCAGCAACGCCGCGGGCGUGAUGACGGCUUUUGGGGUGUAAACCGCUGUAGCCUGUGACGAAGCGGGAGUGACGGUAAUGGGUAAAGAAGCACCGGCUAACUACGUG